CCGAUAGCAAGGUGUUGAGCGAAACUGUGGCAGAUUCUCCUACCUCUGUGCUCGAGGACGAGAGAUAGCUAAAGAAAAGAAUCUUGAGGAAGAGUGGCUGAUAGAAGAGGAGGAUACAGCAGAUGAGCCGAAGGAAGAAACUUGCUUGAGUGACAUCCAGUUCGGUAAACUUGAUGAACUUUUAACACAGACUCAACUUUUCUCUGAGUUUCUGCUGGAAUAGAUGGAUGAUAUUACGAAGGUUUCUUUCAAUGUUGGUUCAUGAAGUGAUUUGGAAUGAUAUAGUAGUUAAUAUAAUCUGUUUUUAUUCUCCUCGAGUCGGUCAGAGGAUGACACCAAACCCACUACAGGAGACAAGAAAGUUUGAGGUUCCAAACAAAAGGCCACUUCAAGUUAUAGUGACACGUAGCUGCUAAAAAUCAAGGAUAGCUCGUUCUUGACUUAGAAGACACCUCAGCUGGUGGCACACCAGGGAAUCCGGGGAGCGGUGGUUCGGGAAAAGAAGGAAGGGGGAUAGGAGAAGAUGGAGUUGAGCCAGGAACAGGUGGAAGCUGGAACGAAGGCGGCGGAGAAGAAGGCAAAGGAAAAGUAGAAGGAAUGCCAGGUUUUGGAGUUUGAGGUAAUGGAAAUUCCAUUGGCUUCUGAAUUGUAUUCUCGGAUGAUUGUGAUGCAGGCGGCAGAAAUGGGUAUCCAGGCAGAGGUGGAAGCCUUGGCAAUGGCGGCAGAGGCGGCAGACGUGGCAGCGGUGGGAGGUACCCGCCGCCCAAGGCUGGUGGAUCAGAGGGUGGAUCUUGAAGUGGUGGCGGGAACGAGAGAUCAUCGGGGCUCGAAACUAGGGGUGAGUUCAGUAUAUUGACAUUGAUGCUCGGUUUCUGAUCGCACAGCUGUGGCUGUUUCAACGGCUUAAAAGUGAAGAACCCUGCCGAAAAAAUGUGCUUCCCGUCCUUUCUUGAUUUGAGGUGGAGAUUCGACGAGGCUGCAGUGGCGGCCACGGCGCAGUAGGGAUGAUUGCUCCUGACGAGCUUCACCGAGCAGCCCUUGAUUCUCUUGAAAUGUUUGCCGAUAAAUGGCGGGAGAUGGACUUUGAACUCUCCCUGCUUGUCGGUCUUCACUUCCUGUCGAAACCCCAGCCUCGUCUCCCUGCAUUCCACUGCAACAGUUGCACCUGCGCGCAGACGCCGGUGUGCAGGUAAGAGGAAGGAGGAAACCCCAUUUUUAUACAGGGAAAAGAAGAAGAGCACAUAAUGGGAGUCAUGGAGAGACAGGUAAACUGCUAACUGGCAAGUAGUUAAUUUCUUGGUAAAAAGGUGGAUCAAAAUUCGGACAAAGUUCAAUUCUUUAAUGCAGUCAGGUUACCAUAGCGGUGGGUUGUGCCAUAGUUAUUGUUCUAGUUUUGUUCUCAAGUCUAUUAUUUGUCUUUGUUUUGCUUGUGCGUUGCAGUUCUUGGAGAUUAAUAUUAUAUAUAUGUAUAUAUAUUUAAUGAAAAUAGGUUUUGAUUGUUAUGAUUUUAAGGUUUAAUAUGUUAGAUAUGAUCUGUUAAUUACGGGGUGGGGUAUUAGGUGUCCCCCGUAAGGGGUUUUCUUGUGGGCGUAGACUUGUAAACUCGAGGUCAUGAGUUCAAAUCCGCCACGGCUGAUGUAAGGUAGUAGUCAU